rnacentral:misc_RNA from 1 species
GACAAGCACUCUAUCACCCAAAGGUGUGAUGGAAGUAUACUUGGGUGCGAUGACGGUGGCGGACUUGACCGCGAGGCGGCGGAAGCAUCUCCGCUCGGCCGCCGCCGCCCCCCGAGCCUCGACGGGGGAGAAAAACCUAAGCGUUGACGGAGCCGAUCGAAGGCCGUCGAAGUGCGGCACCGCCGCCGCCGGUGCAGCACCCAUUAUCUGGAGCCCGGCCAUAGAUUCUUCGACGGGAUUGGGGGAGGGAAGAGGAGGAAUGGAGUAG